CUGAAAGGCAGGAGUGCCCGCAAGGGAGCGCGGAGACAGGUGGUGCAUGGCUGUCGUCAGCUCGUGUCGUGAGAUGUUGGGUUAAGUCCCGCAACGAGCGCAACCCUCACCCUUAGUUGCUCGUCCGCAAGGAAAGCACCCUAAGGGAACUGCCCGGGAUAACCGGGAGGAAGGUGGGGAUGACGUCAAGUCCUCAUGGCCUUUAUGCCCAGGGCUACACACGUGCUACAAUGGCCGGUACAAAGCGUCGCCAACCCGCAAGGGGGAGCCAAUCGCAAAAAACCGGUCUCAGUUCGGAUUGCAGGCUGCAACUCGCCUGCAUGAAGCUGGAAUCGCUAGUAAUCGCGUAUCAGAACGAUGCGGUGAAUACGUUCCCGGGCCUUGUACACACCGCCCGUCACAUCACGAAAGUGGU
rnacentral:rRNA from 1 species